rnacentral:lncRNA from 1 species
GGGAGGGGCAGGGAUGAGGGGACUCCUCAGUCCCUCCACUAAUUGAAAACAUAAAUAUCAGAGAGGAAGAGAGACAGAACAGUAGGGGAAGCAUGGAAGAGGAGACGCACAGGCAAUACCAAGGAACGCUCAUUCUAAUCACUGUGUUUAACUGGUCAGGUCAGAAACCAGAAUUAAAGCAGGGGGAAUAAUGGAUGGAGAGAGGGGGAGAGAAAGAGAGAGAAGAAAACAGAGAUAUACAGAAAAAAAAGAGAAAGAAUGAGAAAGACUCAUGGUUAAAACAAACUACAUAAGAAGAUCUAGAAUGAGAUUAAAUAAACGAGAGAAUAAGAGAGAGAAAAAGAAAGUGGGAGGGGGGAGGGCGAGAGAGAAAGAAAGAGGGAGAGAAAGAGGAGGAGAGAGAGAAAGAAAGAGGAGGAGAGAGAGAGAAAGAGAGAAAGAGAAAGAGAGAGUAAAAUGAGUAAAGAGAGUAAAAGUAACCAAAGGAAAUGUAGAUACAUUGAGACGAACAGAAAGUGAGAUGAAUGCAUAUGUUUGUGUGAAGCCAGGACAUAGUGUUCCCCAUAGUGUAUGUGCAACCAUGUGUUUCUGAAUGUGUGUGGGUGGCAAAUUGUGUUUGUUCAAACAUAAUCCAUAUGAGACCAUCUUUGUUUACAUCUUCAGACCGAGGAAAGCUUUCAGCUCGCCAGGACAAGACCAUGUAUUCAGGGAGCUAAAAUGAUUGGAAAACUACAAUGUAUGAUAUCGUCCACUGAACCCCCUUUCUUCCUCAAAAGGAUCAGAGUUAAUCUGAUCUUUCAAGGACCUUUGAAGCAGCAAAUUGAGGAAAUGUCUGAUUUUCAAGGUUUUGUCGUGCCCUAUUCACGACUGUCUUGGUGUGCUUUGACCAUGUUAUUUUGUUGGCGAUGUGGAAGCCAAGGAACUUGAAGCUCUCAACCUGCUCCACUACAGCCCCGUCGAUGAGAAUGGGGGCGUGCUCAGUCUUCUUUUUCCUGUAGUCCACAAUCAUCUCCUUUGUCUUGAUCACAUUGAGUGAGAGGUUGUUGUCCUGCCACCACAUGACCAGGUAUCUGACCACCUCCCUAUAGGCUGUCUUGUCGUUGUCGGUGAUCAGGCCUACCACUGUUGUGUCAUCUGCAAAGCUAAUGAUGGUGUUGGAGUCGUGCCUGGCCGUGCAGUCAUGAUUGUUUAGGGAGUACAGGAGGGGACUGAGCACGCACCCUUGAGGGGCCCAUGUGUUGAGGAUCAGCGUGGCGGAUGUGUUGUUACCUACCCUUAAUCUUUAUGUAAUUUAUCUUUGUUUCAUAGUGAAGUCUCUUCUUUUUAUUCAGUUUAGUCACAUGAUUUUUCAAUUUGUAGUAUGUUUGCCAAUGGGUUGUGCAGCCAGACUUAUUUGCCAUUCCUUUUGCCUCAUCCCUCUCAACCACACAAUUUUUCAAUUCCUCAUCAACCCACAGGUAUUUAACCAUUUUACAGUCAUUUUCUUAAUGGGUGCAUGCUUAUUAGUAACUGGGAUAAGAAAUUUCAUAAAUGUUUCAAGUGCAGCGUCUGUUUGCUCCUCAUUA